rnacentral:rRNA from 1 species
GUACGGGGGGCAAGCGUUGUCCGGAAUUAUUGGGCGUAAAGCGCGCGCAGGCGGUCUCUUAAGUCUGAUGUGAAAGCCCACGGGCUCAACCGUGGAGGGUCAUUGGAAACUGGGAGACUUGAGUGUAGGAGAGGAAAGUGGAAUUCCACGUGUAGCGGUGAAAUGCGUAGAUAUGUGGAGGAACACCAGUGGCGAAGGCGACUUUCUGGCCUACAACUGACGCUGAGGCGCGAAAGCGUGGGGAGCAAACAGGAUUAGAUACCCUGGUAGUCCACGCUGUAAACGAUGAGUGCUAGGUGUUACGGGGUUUCGAUGCCCUUAGUGCCGAAGUUAACACAUUAAGCACUCCGCCUGGGGAGUACGGCCGCAAGGCUG